AGAAAAAAACUGCAAUUUAAUAGAGCUCUGCGUAGAAUAUCUUAUUAAAAGGAGGAUAUUUAUUUACCAUUGUGCCAAGCAAACUAAUACGUUUAUUCUUUCCUGCACAUACAGCUUCCUUUGCCAUUAGAGUUCUGCAUGAAGAUAAAGCCUAAAACUGUAUCAUUUCAGUCAAUGGAAAUUUCUUUAUUGACUUAUGAGAGCAUGUUAUGUUCUGUAGCAGUAUAGCAAAAUAGUCUUGUAAUUUUAUCUAGGCGAGGUACUUGCAGCCAAUUUUGCUGUCAGUCCUGCUAUAUCUGUUACUGAAAAAAAUCUGAAUUUGUAUUUAUUAAAGUUUUCUGUAGUUCUCAGUUCAUGAAUUGAAAAACAGCACUUUUGUUCACCUUUUGAGAUACAGAAAAGGAUGGUUUUUUUCUUUAACUAUAUAUGUUUGUUUUCUCAGACAUUUAUCUUCUGUUUCUGUUGAUGGACUGAAUAAGCUGCUGACCAGUCUUAUCAAUUGAAGUAAAUGGCAAGACCCCCUUUAGCUUCCGUGAUUCAAAUGGAGCCUAGUAAGUGCUACAGAGUCCAGAUGUUCUGCAGCUGUUAAUCUCCCAGAAUUCAUCUCCCAUGGCAGAAGCCUAAUCCACAGAAAAGAGUAAUGCCAUUCCUACAUAACUGUUGGGUGGAACACUUGCCUGGGCAUGUGAAGAUUUGAGUCUGAAUUACAGUGGAACACAUAACUAAUAGAGUAGGCAACACAUUUUUCAAAUAAACUGAAAUACUUGGAAACUUU